UUGUAGACAAAGUCAUCUGUUUAAAGAUAAGUUAACAUUGUCAAACGCAAAAACAAACAAAAAGAAUGCAAUGCUUGCAUGAUAGUUCAUAAAAAUGAUGAAAAUAACAACGGUACUAAAUAUUAAUUUGAUUACUAUGAAAGCAAUCACUCUAGUAAUGUAAUGUAAAGAAGUCCAAUGUAGCCCCAAAGCAAUUGAUCCAAUCUUUACCACUUUCCCGUGCACUAUAGCUUUCUUACAUAUAAGCAUUUCCAAUAUCCUCCAAAUUUGGUAGUCUUGUUCUCAGGAUCAAACUCCAAAAGCAUACUCAAAAAAUGACCGGAUCAUCAAUCAAAUCUAAAUCUUUGCAACCCUUGUGGAUGAUACAGUAAAUCCAUCAUAAGUGAAAGUCUAAUUUAAAAAGAAAAAAAAGUUCUGGUAUAAUAGCAUGGAUAAGUAUAAACUAAAACUAACUUAUAAGAAACACACUGUACAGGAAAAAAAAAUCAAUUAUAUUAUAACUUAAAUUUCAUUACUUACCAAAAAUCAAGAGCUAACAGAAGAUGAAUCCAACCAUUUGACGACGGAAUAAUUAAAAUUUGUGGGGUCAUAGUGGUAAGCAAUUGAUGCAGUAAUACCAGAAAAUCUAGGUUCAACAUCAUGUCCAUAAACAAUAAUCACAAAAAUUCUUGGGUGAACACAUACCAAUGUAAUCCUCACCAAAUUUCAAAUUAUAAGUGUUGUUAAGUUCAUUCACGCCAUGAGUUAAACAUAAUUUGUCAUUCUUCUUAUGAACCAUGAUCUCAAAUUGAUUGAGUGCAGCAUCAAUCAACAUUAUAUACCGAUAUAACUCAUAACCAAUUUCCUUAAUUAGCAUAGGUCCUAAGUCUACAAUAGGCUAUAAAAAGCAAUAUAUGACACAUCUUAGCAGAUUACAUUGUAAAAUGAAUUUUUUUUUUACAAAAAAUGAUGCAUAAAACGAUAACAGAAUUUCCUAUAAAGCGGCCUAAAAAAUUCAACUGCUUUAUACCAUUAUUAACN
rnacentral:lncRNA from 1 species